rnacentral:lncRNA from 1 species
GUAAGCUCUUAGGGUAUGCCGGGGAGGCUAGAAUAAUCAUUUUCAAAGGGAAUCUGUACAAUAGGAAAAAAGCAAUAUUAAAAAAAAACCUGCUGUGAAGUAUUUCAUUUUUGUGAUUCUUUCACAAUUUACAGAAGAAAUGGCACAUGAGGGAAGUUUUCUUUUCUUUGGAGAAUCAUAAAUAAAAUCGUGGUGUAAUCAAAGGACUGAAGAAAAAAGAGACUUCAGCUUUCCCCUCCUGGAACCUCUUACAGAGGCUCUGGCGCUCCAAACCAGUGUCUUGGAAGUCGCCUGGCCCACUUCAGGGGAAGAUAUACUCCUGACAGCUCAAGCUGACUCCAUGAACACAUUUGGAGAGUGAGUUGCUUGUGGAAAUGUGAUGGCUGGGAUCCAGAGUACUAUUCUUUCUUCUCCUCAUUGUGGGUUAAUUGGAUAUGCGCAAUGUUGCUUCAGGUCGUGUAUCCGGUUUGAUCUGAGCUUGGAAAAUGGCAUAAAACCCUGGUGCAACUGUGUUAUGCCAGGAAUGUUUGAUGGACAGGUCAAGCUACUCAGGAGGGGAAGGGAAUGAACUUCCUUGACACAAUAUCUUUUUGUCACAUGAUGCCUUUUUUAAUGGGGAUGGAAGGAGGAGAGGGAGUUUACUUGGCAGUUUUUUUAACUUGGCAUUUUAAUGUAACAGACAAAUAAAAACAGA